UACGUAGGGGGCAAGCGUUGUCCGGAUUUAUUGGGCGUAAAGAGCGUGUAGGCGGCCAGGUAGGUCUGCUGUGAAAACUCGAGGCUCAACCUCGAGACGCCGAUGGAAACCCCCUGGCUAGAGUCCGGAAGAGGAGAGUGGAAUUCCUGGUGUAGCGGUGAAAUGCGCAGAUAUCAGGAAGAACACCCGUGGCUAAGGCGGCUCUCUAGUACGGUACUGACGCUGAGACGCGAAAGCGUGGGGAGCGAACAGG
rnacentral:rRNA from 1 species